rnacentral:tRNA from 1 species
GGGCCUAUAGUGUAGCCUGGUANNAACCGCGGUUCGAAUCCGCGUAGGCCCG